UACAACGAGUCGCAAACUCGCGAGAGUAAGCUAAUCUCUUAAAGCCGUUCUCAGUUCGGACUGUAGGCUGCAACUCGCCUACACGAAGUCGGAAUCGCUAGUAAUCGCGGAUCAGCAUGCCGCGGUGAAUACGUUCCCGGGGAUUGUACACACCGCCCGUCACACCAUGAGAGUCGGGAACACCCAAAGUCCGUAGUCUAACCGCAAGGAGGGCGCGGCCUAAGGUGGGUUCGAUAAUUGGGGUGAAGUCGUAACAAGGUAAC
rnacentral:rRNA from 1 species